rnacentral:rRNA from 1 species
CCUACGGGUGGCAGCAGUGAGGAAUAUUGGUCAAUGGUCGGGAGACUGAACCAGCCAAGCCGCGUGAGGGAUGAAGGUUCUGUGUAUCGUAAACCUCUUUUGUCAGGGAACAAAGGCGGGGACGCGUCCCCGUAUGCGUGUACCUGAUGAAAAAGCAUCGGCUAACUCCGUGCCAGCAGCCGCGGUAAUACGGCGGGUGCGAGCGUUAUCCGGAUUUAUUGGGUUUAAAGGGUGCGGAGGCGGGCUGUUAAGUCAGCGGUGAAAGCCCGGGGGGCAACCCGAGCACCGCGUUGAAACCUGGCAGUCUUGAGUUGGAGAGAGGUAUGCGGAAUGCGCGGUGUAGCGGUGAAAUGCAUAGAUAUCGCGCAGAACUCCGAUUGCGAAGGCAGCAUGCCGGGUCCUCACUGACGCUGAGGCACGAAAGCGUGGGGAUCGAACAGGAUUAGAUACCCGUGUAGUC